rnacentral:snRNA from 9 species
ACACAUACAUGGCGUAGAUGGUACCGUGAUCAUGUAGGCGGUUCCCCCAGGGCGAGGCUGCUCCAUUGUACUGCGGAGUGGUUGACCCUUGCGAUUAUUUUUAUUUUUACCUAUAAAAAAAUCAUAAUAAAAAUGUACACCCGAAUAAUUCUUUUCUUU